rnacentral:rRNA from 1 species
UCACGUGAGAAACCUGCCCCAGACUCUGGGAUAACAAUUGGAAACGAUUGCUAAUACCCGAUGACCUCCGAGAACCGCAUGGUUCACUGACGAAAGAUAUUUCGGUUUGGGAGGGUCUCGCGGCCUAUCAGCUUGUUGGUGGGGUAAUGGCCUACCAAGGCAACGACGGGUAGCUGGUCUGAGAGGAUGAUCAGCCACACUGGGACUGAGACACGGCCCAGACUCCUACGGGAGGCAGCAGUGGGGAAUCUUGCGCAAUGGGCGAAAGCCUGACGCAGCAACGCCGCGUGCGGGAUGAAGGCCUUCGGGCUGUAAACCGCUUUCAGCAGGAACGAAAAUGACGGUACCUGCAGAAGAAGGAGCGGCCAACUACGUGCCAGCAGCCGCGGUGACACGUAGGCUCCAAGCGUUGUCCGGAUUUAUUGNGGCGUAAAGAGCUCGUAGGCGGUUUAGUAAGUCGGGUGUGAAAACUCUGGGCUUAACCCGGAGACGCCAUCCGAUACUGCUAUGACUUGAGUUCAGGAGGGGAGCGGGGAAUUCCUAGUGUAGCGGUGAAAUGCGCAGAUAUUAGGAGGAACACCGGUGGCGAAGGCGCCGCUCUGGACUGAAACUGACGCUGAGGAGCGAAAGCAUGGGUAGCAAACAGGAUUAGAUACCCUGGUAGUCCAUGCCGUAAACGGUGGGCACUAGGUGUGGGUUCCAACUAACGGGAUCCGCGCCGUCGCUAACGCAUUAAGUGCCCCGCCUGGGGAGUACGGUCGCAAGACUAAAACUCAAAGGGAUUGACGGGGGCCCGCACAAGCAGCGGAGGUNGUUGCUUAAUUCGAUGCUACGCGAAGAACCUUACCUGGGUUUGACAUGUUUGGAAAACC